GAAAUGCGAUAAGUAAUGUGAAUUGCAGAAUUCAGUGAAUCAUCGAAUCUUUGAACGCACAUUGCGCCCGCCAGUAUUCUGGCGGGCAUGCCUGUCCGAGCGUCAUUUCAACCAUCAAGCCCCGGGCUUGUGUUGGGGACCUGCGGCUGUCCGCAGGCCCUGAAAACCAGUGGCGGGCUCGCUGUCACCCCGAGCGUAGUAGUAUUAUCUCGCUAAGGGCGUGCUGCGGGUUCCGGCCGUUAAACAGCCUUUAUAACCCAAGGUUGACCUCGGAUCAGGUAGGAAGACCCGCUGAACUUAA
rnacentral:misc_RNA from 1 species